rnacentral:rRNA from 1 species
GACGAACGCUGGCGGCGUGCUUAACACAUGCAAGUCGAACGGAAAGUCCCUGCUUGCAGGGUACUCGAGUGGCGAACGGGUGAGUAACACGUGGGUGAUCUGCCCUGCACUUCGGGAUAAGCCUGGGAAACUGGGUCUAAUACCGGAUAGGAGCCAUUUUUAGUGUGAUGGUUGGAAAGUUUUUUCGGUGUAGGAUGAGCUCGCGGCCUAUCAGCUUGUUGGUGGGGUAAUGGCCUACCAAGGCGGCGACGGGUAGCCGGCCUGAGAGGGUGGACGGCCACAUUGGGACUGAGAUACGGCCCAGACUCCUACGGGAGGCAGCAGUGGGGAAUAUUGCACAAUGGGCGCAAGCCUGAUGCAGCGACGCCGCGUGGGGGAUGACGGCCUUCGGGUUGUAAACUCCUUUCGCUAGGGACGAAGCUUUUUGUGACGGUACCUAGAUAAGAAGCACCGGCUAACUACGUG